rfam:Stenotrophomonas maltophilia SKK35, WGS project CALN01000000 data, contig: 97
AUCGACGGCGGGCGGUGCGUGGGGGCCCCGUGCCCACCGGCUCAUCGAUUACCGGUCUUGGAAGCCACGCAUCGCCUGCCACCCUC